CGUAGGCGGUUUGUCGCGUCUGCUGUGAAAUCCCGAGGCUCAACCUCGGGCCUGCAGUGGGUACGGGCAGACUAGAGUGCGGUAGGGGAGAUUGGAAUUCCUGGUGUAGCGGUGGAAUGCGCAGAUAUCAGGAGGAACACCGAUGGCGAAGGCAGAUCUCUGGGCCGUAACUGACGCUGAGGAGCGAAAGGGUGGGGAGCAAACAGGCUUAGAUACCCUGGUAGUCCACCCCGUAAACGUUGGGAACUAGUUGUGGGGUCCAUUCCACGGAUUCCGUGACGCAGCUAACGCAUUAAGUUCCCCGCCUGGGGAGUACGGCCGCAAGGCUAAAACUCAAAGGAAUUGACGGGGACCCGCACAAGCGGCGGAGCAUGCGGAUUAAUUCGAUGCAACGCGAAGAACCUUACCAAGGCUUGACAUAUACGAGAACGGGCCAGAAAUGGUCAACUCUUUGGACACUCGUAAACAGGUGGUGCAUGGUUGUCGUCAGCUCGUGUCGUGAGAUGUUGGGUUAAGUCCCGCAACGAGCGCAACCCUCGUUCUAUGUUGCCAGCACGUAAUGGUGGGAACUCAUGGGAUACUGCCGGGGUCAACUCGGAGGAAGGUGGGGAUGACGUCAAAUCAUCAUGCCCCUUAUGUCUUGGGCUUCACGCAUGCUACAAUGGCCGGUACAAUGGGCAGCAAUACCGUGAGGUGGAGCGAAUCCCAAAAAGCCGGUCCCAGUUCGGAUUGAGGUCUGCAACUCGACCUCAUGAAGUCGGAGUCGCUAGUAAUC
rnacentral:rRNA from 1 species